UACCAGCACCCCGAGUGGUCGGGACGUUUAUUGGGCCUAAAGCAUCCGUAGCCGGUUCUACAGGUCUUCCGUUAAAUCCACCUGCUUAACAGAUGGGCUGCGGAAGAUACUAUGGAGCUAGGAGGCGGGAGAGGCAAGCGGUACUCGAUGGGUAGGGGUAAAAUCCGUUGAUCCAUUGAAGACCACCAGUGGCGAAGGCGGCUUGCCAGAACGCGCUCGACGGUGAGGGAUGAAAGCUGGGGGAGCAAACCGG
rnacentral:rRNA from 1 species